rnacentral:rRNA from 1 species
CCUACGGGGUGCAGCAGUGAGGAAUAUUGGUCAAUGGACGGGAGCCUGAACCAGCCAAGCCGCGUGAAGGAUGACUGCCCUAUGGGUUGUAAACUUCUUUUGUAAAGGAAUAAAACGAGGCACGUGUGCCUUUUUGCAUGUACUUUAUGAAUAAGGAUCGGCUAACUCCGUGCCAGCAGCCGCGGUAAUACGGAGGAUCCGAGCGUUAUCCGGAUUUAUUGGGUUUAAAGGGUGCGUAGAUGGGUUGUUAAGUCAGUUGUGAAAGUUUGCGGCUCAACCGUAACACUGCAAUUGAUACUGGCAGUCUUGAGUACAGUUGAGGUAGGCGGAAUGCGUGGUGUAGCGGUGAAAUGCUUAGAUAUCACGAAGAACCCCGAUUGCGAAGGCAGCUUACUAAACUGUGACUGACAUUGAUGCACGAAAGUGUGGGGAUCAAACAGGAUUAGAUACCCUAGUAGUC